rnacentral:rRNA from 1 species
GACGAACCACACGAAGCGUUAUUCGGAAUUACUGGGCUUAAAGGGUGCGUAGGCGGCGCGGUAAGUAGGGUGUGAAAUCCCUCGGCUCAACCGAGGAACUGCGCUCUAAACUACCGUGACUCGAGGGAGAUAGAGGUGAGCGGAACUUAGGGUGGAACGGUGAAAUGUGUUGAUAUCCUAAGGAACACCGGUGGCGAAAGCGGCUCACUGGAUCUCUUCUGACGCUGAGGCACGAAAGCUAGGGUAGCGAACGGG